rnacentral:rRNA from 1 species
CGUGCAGGCGGCUCGCUAAGUCUGAUGUGAAAGCACCGGGCUCAACCCGGGAAGUGCAUUGGAAACUGGCGAACUCGAGUACGGGAGAGGGAAGUGGAAUUCCGAGUGUAGGGGUGAAAUCCGUAGAUAUUCGGAGGAACACCAGUGGCGAAGGCGGCUUCCUGGACCGAUACUGACGCUGAGACGCGAAAGCGUGGGGAGCAAACA